rnacentral:lncRNA from 1 species
CUAAUGAAAUGAAAAUUUCUUAUAUACAUAAAGUUUUAUUGAAAAGAUAAAGAGUCAUUUUUGAUCUUGUACAUAUGCUAUUUACAACUAGGCACAAUAUAUAGAUAUGUGUGGAUGUGCGCCUAGUUCAAUAUCUAGAGAGAACGCUGAAAAGAUAAAGAGUCGUUUUUGAUCUCGUACAUAUACUAUUUACAACUAGGCACAAUAUAUAGAUAUGUGUGGAUGUGCGCCUAGUUCAAUAUCUAGAGAGAACGCUAGAAUCUCUCUUUCUCUCUCCCUCUCUCCCUCUCUCUCCCUCUCCCUAAUUUCAUGCGAUCGGGUGGAUAACGACCUUUCCGGUGACUCGACCGGUCUGGAGAUACGAGAACGCUUCGGGAGCCUGAGAAAAUGGGAAUGUGCCUUUGGGGUCAAUCACUGGCUUUAUUUUCUGGCUCUCCAGGAAGGGAUUGAGUUUCUCCAAGACUGAGCCAUUGGAUGUCAAAAUGAAGAGGACAGCAGGUGGAGUUGCCGCCCCUGCUAUUGUCACCACGCUUCCUCCUUCCUUCACUGCCCUUACCGCCCUCUCACUUUGACCUGCGUGCAUUUCAUUUAGAAUCUUAGACUCUUCAAACAAGCCUACAAAAGCUAUGUUAACUGCACCUUAAACUUUAGUAAAAACUGUAGCUAGAAGAGGAUACAGAAAUAGCUGCAAUUCCAUUUGGAAAUGUACAUGCGUCCCCUUGUGUGUUGUGUGUAGACAGAGGAAUUUAUCAAAGCUCAAAAUUAUUAAGACAAGAUCAAGAAGUUGUACGAACUCCAAAAUUGUAAGUGGAAAAACAGAGCAUAUUUCGAACGCCACAUACCAACUGCAUCAUAGACCACGUCGAAUUUCUCCGGGAGGUCUUCAAAGUUCUCUUUGGUGUAAUCAAUGGCCAAAUCAGCUCCCAAACUCUUCAACAACUCCAGCUUUCCGGUGCUAGAUGUAGCUGCCACUCUUGAUGCACCAAAGACUUCCUUGGCUAGCUGUGUUUUUUAGGACCGACAAAAGAUCAUAAAUAUAUCCAUAGGUUCAAACCAUAAGACAAUUAUAUCAUAUUAAUCGUAUUCUUAAAGUCUAAAUUGAACAAAAACUGGAGCAGAUCCCGACCCAAUAUCAGUCGACAUCAUUGUUGAAAUUAUGAGCCUUUCUUUUUCCUUUUCCAAUCAUCAGCGGAGCUUAGCAACUCAAACUGAUAUACCUGAAUCACGAGGGUACCGACACCGCCGGCGCCACCCAAAACGAGGAUGGAUUUGCCAGGCGAAAAGCGAGCCCUCUCGAGGCCUUCAUAAGCAGUUUCAAUGGCCAAGGGAAGCGAAGCGGCUUCAAUGAAGCUCAAGUUCUUGGGCUUGAGAGCCAGCAGCCUCUCUUCCACAGCAGUGUACUCAGCCAGAGUGCCAUGUUGCUUUGGAUGGUCCAAAGCUUUCUCGUUGAUGUCUCCGUACACUUCAUCCCCAACUUUGAACUUCUUCACUUGAUCCCCGACUUUCACCACCACACCGGCCACGUCGUAGCCGGGCACAAUCUUAAUGAAUAUAAAAAAAAAAGAAAUAAAGAAAAAGGAUGCAAAAAAAUAAAAAUAAAUUAUCCAACAGAAAGAAGUAAUUAGAAGCUAUCAAGAUUUUAUAUCGUCCGAUAAUGGCCAAAAAUUAAAUUUCACAAGUGGUGUUACCAUAAUUGAUGAAUAACAAAACGAGAAAUUCCAGAUCAAAAUAGGCUCGCGUUUAACAGCCAUCAGUAGUCACCAGCAAUGAACAAAAUUAAAGGGAAAAAAGAAGGAGGUAAGUACUAUGAUGUCUUACAGGCGGCGGAGAGUCGAUGUCCUUAAAGAAGCCGAGAGCUCUCUUGAAAUCAACGGGAUUUAGGGAAGCGGCAACAACCUUAACAAGGACCUGGUCUUCCUUAAUCUCAGGAACCCCAACGUCUGGAACCAGCUUCAAGACAUCGGCGGGGUUCCCACGUUCGGCAUAGACCCAAGCCUUGAUCUUCGAGGGGAUGGUGACAUCUGAGUCGGAAGCCAUUGAAUAAGCAAAAGCUAAGCUAAGCUAAGCUAAGCUAAGCUAAGCAAUUGUGUGUGAAUUGGUGGGAGAUGGAAGAACAAUAGAGUUUUGUUGAUUCUUGGUGCUUGAAGUGACCUCACCUUGUCAAUCUAUAAAAAGAGUUAAGGUAACGCGUAAAGGUAAAGGGUGGGUGAGGUUCAUUAUCGUCGUGAAAACUUGAGUUGGGUUUAAGCGCCUUGGAUUCGUCGAUGUAUAAAGAAUUGAUUGCGGUCCAAGUUCAUUGCGUUCGUUGAUGUAUAAGAAUUGAUUGUGGUCCAAGUUCAUUGUGUCUAGAUGCAAUGUUCGAGUGGACUCCAUCAUUUCAUGAUGAUAGUGGGACAUUUUUGGUAAAAUAGUAAUCUUCAUCAAUGCUUUUCAAUCAUUCAGACACUAUUAUUUUGAUUUGAUAUCAUUUUAUGAUUCAUCAGCAUAUUACUGCAACAUUAAUUGUUAUUUUGAAUAAAACGAUCUUUUAUUUAUAUCUCCAUUUGUUUCAUUGAAAAUGAACUUUGUUCGAAAAUAUUUUCGAAGGAUGUUUUUUUUUUUUUUUGGGCACUUUGCAAAUAAUAUGAAAGUUGAAAUCUCAAGUAUAACUCUAAGUUUCGGAUUCAAGCUUUGACAAUCCUGAACCCGGACUCAUCUUAGCAGGAGCCGGGCUAGAGAACCGGGUUGCCAGGUCCGGUCAUCAGGAUCUUGGGCCAGGGUGUCGGGGAUCUGGGCCUGGGAUCAGCCUCAAGGGCUCUGGGGUGGCCACUGAGGUCCCAAGCCCUGCCGCCAGGGUCAACGGCCCGGCCCCCUAGGUCUCGGUCCCGAUCAUCCGGGACCUGGGCCCGACUGGCAUUUCUCUACUGCCCAAUAAUAUGUCAUGGUCAAUCAUACAGUUGGAAGUGUUACCUACUGGAGCGCAAGUGACGGUGGCUUUGAGGAACCCAGGUGCUCUCUUCAGGUCAACAGCAUGCAAUGCAGCAGUGAGGACUUUGAUCAGCACUUGGUCUGGUUUGGGCUGUCAGGAGCAUCGAAUUCUGCCUCCAGGUUCAGUGCAACCUACGUGUUUAAUAACCUAUCAUCUCUCACUAUAAAACCCUACAACUAACUAUCCAGCAUCACACAUGAAAUCAAUUUUAAUGGCAGUGCCGCAUGGAUUCCACAUAGAUUGGCUGGUGUCGAUGCUUGGAUUGCACACUAAAAAGAGCAAGAAAGUGCAGUAUUCUCAUCUACACAGUCUAAAACUAAUAACAAGAGCAGACAAAUUGAUUUUUUUCCAUCUAAAUUUAAGCAGCUCUCUUUUCUUUCGAGCCAUCUUCCAUGCAACAGCAGUGCGGUAGAUGUGGACUUAGAGAAUGCGCGAAAGUAGACAGAGCCCAACAUAGAGAAACUACAGCAGAAUCUCAUAUCCUCGCCUUUUUUCUUUCUUGGUGCUUUGCAAGAUCAAAUAACUACUAGAGAGCACUACGGAAAGAACGCAGACGACCAGGAAACUAGAAUUAGUUAACCAAAAACGCUUCAGAGCAUCAAGACAUGAAAAGCAUGUAAUUACGGAGACCCGGAUUCACUAGACGCCAAAUUCCUCCUCCCCAAGAUUUUAUCAACGCGAAAGAACAGAGCGCACGUAGAAACAGAGCCAGCGAAAGAGAGAGAGAGAGAGAGAGAGAGAGAGAGAGAGAGAGAGAGAGAGAGAGAGAGUCACAAGAAGUCAUUGACAGUGGCAUUCGAACGAGAAGAAGUCAUUGACAGUGGCAUUCGAACGAGAGGAGCGAAUCACCAGUGACGUGCGCGCAAUGCAUAAAUCUGGAAAAGAAAGAGGACGGGCGGUGGAGGGCAAUGAAAUUGGUGACGAGAGGAGAAGGCAUAGUUGUCAGGAGAAGGCAGAGUCGUCGGUACUCGGGGUCUGAUGUGUUUGGAUGAGAGAACGUGUUUGUUUGGAGUCAAUAAAGUGUUCACGGCCAAACAAAGUUCCGACUCUAAAUCAAACCAAAACAUGUUUGUUUGCUUAUUUUAUAAUUGUUAUUUGAACAAUUUUAAGACUUGAAACAUGUACUCGACUUGUUUUGUAUACAGUUUGUAUUUGGGUCAUGUUCGGGUCGUGUUGGGUUGGGUUUUUGGACAACCAUAGUAUGAGAUUGAUCAAUGAAAUAAACCGUCGAUAUUCGCUUUAAUAUUACUAAUGAAAUGAAUAUUUCUAAUAUAAAUUUAUUGAAAAGAUAGAUGACUUGUUUUUGAUAUCACACAUAUAAUUUAUACAGCUAGCCACUAUAUAUACAUAUGUGUGGAUGUGCUCCUAGUUCUAUAUUUAGAGAGAACGCUAGGAUCUCCCUCUCUCUAAUCUCAUGGGAUCGGGUGGAUGACGAUCUUUCCGGUGACUCGGCCAGUCUGGAGAAACAAGAACGCUUCGAGAGCUUGAGAAAAUGGGAAUGUGCCUUUGGGAUCAAUCACUGGCUUUAUUUUCUGGUUCUCUAGGAAGGGAUUGAGUUUCUCCAAGACUGAGCCAUUAGAUGUCAAAAAGAAUAGGACAGCAGGUGGAGUUGCCUUCCCUGAUAUUGUCACCACGCUUCCUCCUUCCUUCACUGCCCUUACUGCCCUCUCACUUUGACCUGCAUGCAUUUCAUUUAGAAUGAUUAAACUCUUCAAAGAAGCCUACAAAACAUAUGAUAAGUGCACCUUGAACUUUAGUCAAAUACCAGCUAAAAGAGGAUAAAGAAAUAGCUGUAAUUCCACUUGGAAAGUGUAUAUGCAUCCCCUUGUUUGUUUUGUUGAGACGGGGGAAUUCAUCAAAGCUUAAGAUUAUUAAGACAAGACUAAGAAGUUGGGCGAACUCCAAACUUGUAAAUGGAAUAACAGAG